UACACACCGCCCGUCACACCAUGGGAGUUUGUUGCACCAGAAGCAGGUAGCUUAACCUUCGGGAGGGCGCUUGCCACGGUGUGGCCGAUAACUGGGGUG
rnacentral:rRNA from 1 species